AUCUUGUUCGGCAAAGUUACAGGGUGGACACACAUUUUACCACUUUGGAAGUGUCUCUCGCGCAAACUAUUCAGUUUAGAAUAAAAUGAUAUUAGAAACCUCAAUAUCAUUUUUGAAGACCUAUAGAUACCCCACACGUAUGAGUAGUAGUAAUAAUAAAAUUGCGGAUUACGAUUUAUGACGUAUUAAAAAAAAACUACUUACUAGAUCUCGUUCAAACCAAUUUUCGGUGGAAGUUUGCAUGGUAAUGUACAUCAUAUAUGUUUUUUAGUUUUAUCAUUCUCUUAUUUUAGAUGUUACAGGGGGGGGGGCACAUUUUACCACUUUGUAAGUGUCUCUCGCGCAAACUAUUCAGUUUAGAAAAAAAUGAUAUUAGAAACCUCAAUAUCAUUUUUGAAGACCUAUCCACCCCACACGUAUGGUUUUGA